GGGUGUAUAUGGUAUUUAGUAGUCCAUAGUCAAAACAAGUUUUAACUAGGCUUGGGUUAGUUUUGGGUAGUGCUAUCAGUUUAUUGUAUCCUUGUAAUUUUUGGGUUAUAUAAUUGGUAUUUGGUUCUGGUUCUUUGAUAUCCGUAGCUCUGGGGUUAUGGUUUAGGAAGGUUUGGACUCUGUAUAUAUUUUCUAUGUAUUUUUGGGCUGUGUAGUUGUAUACUUUUUUGUCUUGGUUUAGGCUAUCUCGGUAUGUGUUAACU
rnacentral:lncRNA from 1 species